rnacentral:rRNA from 1 species
CCUACGGGUGGCAGCAGUGAGGAAUAUUGGUCAAUGGACGAGAGUCUGAUCCAGCCACGUCGCGUGAAGGAUGACUGCCCUAUGGGUUGUACACUUCUUUUAUAUGGGAAUAAAAUGUUCCACGUGUGGGAUUUUGUAUGUACCCUAUGAAUUAUGAUCGGCUAACUCCGUGCCAGCAGCCGCGGUAAUCCGGAGGCUCCGAGCGUUAUCCGGAUUUAUUGGGUUUAAAGGGGGCGUAGGUGGAUUGUUAAGUCAGUUGUGAAAGUUUGCGGCUCAACCGUAAAAUUGCAGUUGAAACUGGCAGUCUUGAGUACAGUAGAGGUGGGCGGAAUUCGUGGUGUAGCGGUGAAAUGCUUAGAUAUCGCGAAGAACUCCGAUUGCGAAGGCAGGUCACUGGACUGCAACUGACACUGAGGCUCGAAAGUGUGGGUAUCAAACAGGAUUAGAUACCCUUGUAGUC